AACAUCGCGCACCUGCGGGAACCUGCGGAGGGAUCAUUACCGAGUUUACAACUCCCAAACCCCUGUGAACAUACCUAUACGUUGCCUCGGCGGAUCAGCCCGCGCCCUGUAAAAAGGGACGGCCCGCCCGAGGACCCUAAACUCUGUUUUUAGUGGAACUUCUGAGUAAAACAAACAAAUAAAUCAAAACUUUCAACAACGGAUCU
rnacentral:misc_RNA from 1 species